AUGCUUCAGAAUCUUGCCAGUGUCUCCUAAUAUUCUCAGUGUCUUCUUCAUAUUUCUCAGCCCCCAUCCUUGCAGAACCAUUCAAGGGAUCAGUCCUGGCCAAAAGACUAUGAACUGAAAUGUCACAUAGCAUAUAUGAACUAAACCAGUUAGGUAAGUGUGCC